GAUGAACGCUGGCGGCGUGCCUAAUACAUGCAAGUCGAGCGAACAGACGAGGAGCUUGCUCCUCUGACGUUAGCGGCGGACGGGUGAGUAACACGUGGAUAACCUACCUAUAAGACUGGGAUAACUUCGGGAAACCGGAGCUAAUACCGGAUAAUAUAUUGAACCGCAUGGUUCAAUAGUGAAAGACGGUUUUGCUGUCACUUCUAGAUGGAUCCGCGCCGCAUUAGCUAGUUGGUAAGGUAACGGCUUACCAAGGCGACGAUGCGUAGCCGACCUGAGAGGGUGAUCGGCCACACUGGAACUGAGACACGGUCCAGACUCCUACGGGAGGCAGCAGUAGGGAAUCUUCCGCAAUGGGCGAAAGCUUGACGGAGCAACGCCGCGUGAGUGAUGAAGGUCUUCGGAUCGUAAAACUCUGUUAUUAGGGAAGAACAAAUGUGUAAGUAACUAUGCACGUCUUGACGGUACCUAAUCAGAAAGCCACGGCUAACUACGUG
rnacentral:rRNA from 1 species